rnacentral:rRNA from 1 species
CACGUAGGGGACGAGCGUUGUCCGGAUUUAUUGGGCGUAAAGGGCGCGUAGGCGGUCACGCACGUCCGUUGUGAAAUCGCUCGGCUCAACUGGGCGGGGUCAGCGGAUACGGCGUGGCUGGAGCAAGCUAGGGGGCAAUGGAAUUCCCGGUGUAGUGGUGGAAUGCGUAGAUAUCGGGAGGAACACCAGUGGCGAAGGCGGUUGCCUGGAGCUUUGCUGACGCUGAUGCGCGAAAGCGUGGGGAGCGAUCCGG